CCGCGGUAAUACGUAGGUNCCCGAGCGUUGUCCGGAUUUAUUGGGGCGUAAAGCGAGCGCAGGCGGUUUGAUAAGUCUGAAAGUUAAAGGCUGUGGCUCAACCAUAGUUCGCUUUGGAAACUGUCAAACUUGAGUGCAGAAGGGGAGAGUGGAAUUCCAUGUGUAGCGGUGAAAUGCGUAGAUAUAUGGAGGAACACCGGUGGCGAAAGCGGCUCUCUGGUCUGUAACUGACGCUGAGGCUCGAAAGCGUGGGGAGCGAACAGGAUUAGAUACCCUGGUAGUCCACGCCGUAAACGAUGAGUGCUAGGUGUUGGAUCCUUUCCGGGAUUCAGUGCCGCAGCUAACGCAUUAAGCACUCCGCCUGGGGAGUACGACCGCAAGGUUGAAACUCAAAGGAAUUGACGGGGGCCCGCACAAGCGGUGGAGCAUGUGGUUUAAUUCGAAGCAACGCGAAGAACCUUACCAGGUCUUGACAUCCCGAUGCUAUUUCUAGAGAUAGAAAGUUACUUCGGUACAUCGGUGACAGGUGGUGCAUGGUUGUCGUCAGCUCGUGUCGUGAGAUGUUGGGUUAAGUCCCGCAACGAGCGCAACCCCUAUUGUUAGUUGCCAUCAUUCAGUUGGGCACUCUAGCGAGACUGCCGGUAAUAAACCGGAGGAAGGUGGGGAUGACGUCAAAUCAUCAUGCCCCUUAUGACCUGGGCUACACACGUGCUACAAUGGUUGGUACAACGAGUUGCGAGUCGGUGACGGCGAGCUAAUCUCUUAAAGCCAAUCUCAGUUCGGAUUGUAGGCUGCAACUCGCCUACAUGAAGUCGGAAUCGCUAGUAAUCGCGGAUCAGCACGCCGCGGUGAAUACGUUCCCGGGCCUUGUACACACCGCCCGUCACACCACGAGAGUUUGUAACACCCGAAGUCGGUGAGGUAACCUUUUGGAGCCAGCCGCCUAAGGUGGGACAGAUGAUUGGGGUGAAGUCGUAACAAGGUAGCCGUAG
rnacentral:rRNA from 1 species